rnacentral:rRNA from 1 species
AAAUCAGUUAUCGUUUAUUUGAUAGUACCUUUACUACUUGGAUAACCGUGGUAAUUCUAGAGCUAAUACAUGCUAAAAAUCCCGACUGUUUGGAAGGGAUGUAUUUAUUAGAUAAAAAAUCAAUGCUCUUUGAGCUCUUUGAUGAUUCAUAAUAACUUUUCGAAUCGCACGGCCUUGUGCUGGCGAUGGUUCAUUCAAAUUUCUGCCCUAUCAACUUUCGAUGGUAGGAUAGUGGCCUACCAUGGUUUCAACGGGUAACGGGGAAUAAGGGUUCGAUUCCGGAGAGGGAGCCUGAGAAACGGCUACCACAUCCAAGGAAGGCAGCAGGCGCGCAAAUUACCCAAUCCCGACACGGGGAGGUAGUGACAAUACAUAACGAUACAGGGCCCUUUCGGGUCUUGUAAUUGGAAUGAGUACAAUGUAAAUACCUUAACGAGGAACAAUUGGAGGGCAAGUCUGGUGCCAGCAGCCGCGGUAAUUCCAGCUCCAAUAGCGUAUAUUAAAGUUGUUGCAGUUAAAAAGCUCG